rnacentral:rRNA from 1 species
AGCGAACGCUGGCGGAAUGCCUAACACAUGCAAGUCGCGCGGUUCGGUUUCGGCCGGGCAGCGGCGGACGGGUGCGCAACGCGUAGGAACGUGCCCAGGGGUGGGGGACAACGCCGGGAAACUGGCGCUAAUACCGCAUAUGGGCCGAGGCCCAAAGCCUUCGGGCGCCCUUGGAGCGGCCUGCGUCCGAUUAGCUUGUUGGGGGGGUAACGGCCACCAAGGCGACGAUCGGUAGCUGGUCUGAGAGGAUGAUCAGCCACACUGGGACUGAGACACGGCCCAGACUCCUACGGGAGGCAGCAGUGGGGAAUAUUGGACAAUGGGCGCAAGCCUGAUCCAGCAAUUCCGCGUGGGUGAAGAA